ACUGGGCGUAAAGGGCACGCAGGCGGACUUUUAAGUGAGGUGUGAAAUCCCCGGGCUUAACCUGGGAAUUGCAUUUCAGACUGGGGGUCUAGAGUACUUUAGGGAGGGGUAGAAUUCCACGUGUAGCGGUGAAAUGCGUAGAGAUGUGGAGGAAUACCGAAGGCGAAGGCAGCCCCUUGGGAAUGUACUGACGCUCAUGUGCGAAAGCGUGGGGAGCAAACAGGAUUAGAUACCCUGGUAGUCCACGCUGUAAACGAUGUCGAUUUGGGGAUUGGGCUUUAAGCUUGGUGCCCGUAGCUAACGUGAUAAAUCGACCGCCUGGGGAGUACGGCCGCAAGGUUAAAACUCAAAUGAAUUGACGGGGGCCCGCACAAGCGGUGGAGCAUGUGGUUUAAUUCGAUGCAACGCGAAGAACCUUACCUACUCUUGACAUCCAUGGAAUCUUGUAGAGAUACGAGAGUGCCUUCGGGAACCAUGAGACAGGUGCUGCAUGGCUGUCGUCAGCUCGUGUCGUGAG
rnacentral:rRNA from 1 species